GAUGAACGCUGGCGGCGUGCCUAAUACAUGCAAGUCGAGCGAACAGAUGAGGAGCUUGCUCCUCUGACGUUAGCGGCGGACGGGUGAGUAACACGUGGAUAACCUACCUAUAAGACUGGGAUAACUUCGGGAAACCGGAGCUAAUACCGGAUAAUAUAUUGAACCGCAUGGUUCAAUAGUGAAAGACGGUUUUGCUGUCACUUAUAGAUGGAUCCGCGCCGCAUUAGCUAGUUGGUAAGGUAACGGCUUACCAAGGCAACGAUGCGUAGCCGACCUGGGAGGGUGAUCGGCCACACUGGAACUGAGGCACGGUCCAGACUCCUACGGGAGGCAGCAGUAGGGAAUCUUCCGCAAUGGGCGAAAGCCUGACGGAGCAACGCCGCGUGAGUGAUGAAGGUCUUCGGAUCGUAAAACUCUGUUAUUAGGGAAGAACAAAUGUGUAAGUAACUAUGCACGUCUUGACGGUACCUAAUCAGAAAGCCACGGCUAACUACGUG
rnacentral:rRNA from 1 species